CUCUAAUGACUGCGUAAUAAAAACCACAUGGCUGAACAGUCACACACGGAGCACCGCUGCUUUACUGUGGCUCACUGAGGUACUGAGCUACUGAGGUACUGAGCUACUGAUGUACUGAGCUACUGAGGCACUAAGUUACCAGGAUACUGAUUUACUUUCACUCUGAGCUACUGAGGCACUAAAAUACUGAUGUGCUGAGGUACUGAGGUACUGAAAUACUGAAAUACUGAGCUACUGAGGGACUAAAAUACUGAUGUGCUGAGGUACUGAGGUACUGAGGUUACUGAAAUACUGAGCUACUGAGGCACUAAAAUACUGAUGUGCUGAGGUACUGAAAUACUGAAAUACUGAGCUACUGAGGGACUAAAAUACUGAUGUGCUGAGGUACUGAGCUACUGAAAUACUGAAAUACUGAG
ensembl:lncRNA